UACGUAGGGGGCAAGCGUUGUUCGGAUUUACUGGGCGUAAAGGGCGCGUAGGCGGCGCGACAAGUCACUUGUGAAAUCUCCGGGCUUAACUCGGAACGGUCAAGUGAUACUGUCGGGCUAGAGUGCAGAAGGGGCAACUGGAAUUCUCGGUGUAGCGGUGAAAUGCGUAGAUAUCGAGAGGAACACCUGCGGCGAAGGCGGGUUGCUGGGCUGACACUGACGCUGAGGCGCGAAAGCCAGGGGAGCGAACGGG
rnacentral:rRNA from 1 species